rnacentral:rRNA from 1 species
AAUCAACGCUGGCGGCGUGCCUAACACAUGCAAGUCGAACGAGAAAGGGUAGCAAUACCUGAGUAAAGUGGCGCACGGGUGAGUAACACGUGACUAACCUACCCUGGAGUGGGGGAUAACUAAGAGAAAUCUUGGCUAAUACCGCAUAACACCUACGGGUCAAAGGAGCAAUUCGCUUUGGGAGGGGGUCGCGGCCGAUUAGUUAGUUGGCGGGGUAAUGGCCCACCAAGACAGUGAUCGGUAUCCGGCCUGAGAGGGCGCACGGACACACUGGAACUGAAACACGGUCCAGACUCCUACGGGAGGCAGCAGUGGGGAAUUUUGCGCAAUGGGGGAAACCCUGACGCAGCAACGCCGCGUGGAGGAUGAAGUACUUCGGUACGUAAACUCCUUUCGAUCGGGACGAUAAUGACGGUACCGGAAGAAGAAGCCCCGGCUAACUUCGUGCCAGCAGCCGCGGUAAUACGAGGGGGGCAAGCGUUGUUCGGAAUUAUUGGGCGUAAAGGG